AGUUUGAUCCUGGCUCAGGAUGAACGCUAGCGAUAGGCCUAACACAUGCAAGUCGAGGGGUAACAGGGGCUUCGGCCCGCUGACGACCGGCGCACGGGUGAGUAACGCGUAUGCAACCUGCCUGUAACAGCGGGAUAGCUCCCUGAAAGGGGAAUUAACACCGCAUAAGACCACGCUCUCGCAUGGGGACGGGGUAAAAUAUUUAUAGGUUACAGAUGGGCAUGCGUGACAUUAGUUAGUUGGUGAGGUAACGGCUCACCAAGACUGCGAUGUCUAGGGGUUCUGAGAGGAAGGUCCCCCACACUGGAACUGAGACACGGUCCAGACUCCUACGGGAGGCAGCAGUGAGGAAUAUUGGUCAAUGGACGCAAGUCUGAACCAGCCAUGUCGCGUGCAGGAAGACGGCCCUAUGGGUUGUAAACUGCUUUUGUACGGGAAGAAAAUCAGCUACGUGUAGUUGUUUGCCGGUACCGUACGAAUAAGGAUCGGCUAACUCCGUGCCAGCAGCCGCGGUAAUACGGAGGAUCCGAGCGUUAUCCGGAUUUAUUGGGUUUAAAGGGUGCGUAGGCGGCCAUUUAAGUCAGCGGUGAAAUUUUGCAGCUUAACUGUAACAGUGCCGUUGAUACUGUUUGGCUAGGAAUUGGUUGUAGUGGGCGGAAUGUGUGGUGUAACGGUGAAAUGCUUAAAUAUCCCACAAAACACCGAUUGCGAAGGCGGCACACUAAGUCAUUAUUGACGCUGAGGCACGAAAGGGGUGGGGAUCAAACAGGAUUAGAUACCCUGGUAGUCCACGCCGUAAACGAUGAGUACUGGUUGUUUGCGAUACACUGCAAGUGACUGAGCGAAAGCAUUAAGUAAUCCACCUGGGGAGUACGUCGGCAACGAUGAAACUCAAAGGAAUUGACGGGGACCCGCACAAGCAGCGGAGCAUGUGGUUUAAUUCGAAGCAACGCGAAGAACCUUACCAGGUCUUGACAUACCAUUGACCGUUCUAGAGAUAGGAUUUUCCCUUCGGGGACAAUGGAUACAGGUGGUGCAUGGUUGUCGUCAGCUCGUGUCGUGAGAUGUUGGGUUAAGUCCCGCAACGAGCGCAACCCUUGCCUUUAGUUGCCAUCAGUUUAGCUGGGCACUCUAAAGGGACCGCCGGUGUCAAACCGGAGGAAGGUGGGGAGGACGUCAAGUCCUCAUGGCCCUUAUGACCAGGGCUACACACGUACUACAAUGGCCGGUACAACGGGCAGCGACAUCGCGAGAUGGAGCCAAUCCUUCAAAGCCGGUCUCAGUCCGGAUUGGAGUCUGCAACUCGACUGCGUGAAGUCGGAAUCGCUAGUAAAGGGAUAUCAGCAACGGUCCCUUGAAUACGUUCCCGGGCCUUGUACACACCGCCCGUCAAG
rnacentral:rRNA from 1 species